GUGUGAGAGUACACGAGCGGCGGACGGCUGAGUAACGCGUAGGAACGUACCCCAAAGUGAGGGAUAAGCACCAGAAAUGGUGUCUAAUACCGCAUGUGGUCUUCGGAUUAAAGCUUCGGCGCUUUGGGAGCGGCCUGCGUAUGAUUAGUUUGUUGGUGAGGUAAUGGCUCACCAAGGCUUCGAUCAUUAGCUGGUCUGAGAGGAUGAUCAGCCAGACUGGGACUGAGAACGGCCCAGACUCCUACGGGAGGCAGCAGUAGGGAAUUUUCCACAAUGGGCGAAAGCCUGAUGGAGCAACGCCGCGUGCAGGAUGAAGGCCUUCGGGUUGUAAACUGCUUUUAUAUGUGACGAUUAUGACGGUAGCAUAUGAAUAAGGAUCGGCUAACUCCGUG
rnacentral:rRNA from 1 species